rnacentral:lncRNA from 1 species
UGCUGAUUUAGAAGAGAUCUAAACUUAAAUCUUCUCACUAAAUAUUAAGUCUACAGAUCUUCCAUCAUUGUAGAAAUACGGGUGCCUUUCUGGUGUUGAUCGUUCUCAACUGGUUACAGUGGUUCGGUUGUAUCGAGAAGGUACAACCACUCUAUUAACAUUUGAUGUCACGGGAUAGAGGUGGGGUUGGGCCUAAUAAUUGUUAG